CGAUAAGUAAUGUGAAUUGCAGAAUUCAGUGAAUCAUCGAAUCUUUGAACGCAUCUUGCGCUCCUUGGUAUUCCGAGGAGCAUGCCUGUUUGAGUGUCAUCAAGUUCUCAACCACCAUGUUUGUGUGUGUGGCUGGAUUUGGGGGUAUAUGUUUUUGCAGGCUUCAUAAAGUCAGCUCCCCUGAAAAGCAUUAGUGGUAUCUGAGCAAAAACUACUAUAGGUGUGAUAACUAUCUAUGCCUUGGUAUAUAAUGCAUGAACAGACUACACUGCUUGCAAACUUUGAAAUUGACCAAUUUGACCUCAAAUCAGGUAGGACUACCCGCUGAACUUAA
rnacentral:rRNA from 1 species